rfam:Triticum aestivum genome assembly, contig: Triticum_aestivum_CS42_TGACv1_scaffold_129705_2BL
UUUCUACUCCCUCCGUCCGAAAAUACUUGUCAUCGAAAUGGAUAAAAAUAGAUGUAUCUAAAACUAAAAUACGUCUAGAUACAUUUCCUUUUAUCCAUUUUGAUGACAAGUAUUUCCGGACGGAGAGAGUAUUUG